ensembl:snRNA U6 U6 spliceosomal RNA
GUACUGUCUUCAGCCGCACAUAUACUAAAACCGGAACGAUAUAGGGAAGAUUGGUAUGACCCUGAACAAAGCUGGCAUGCAAAUUCAGGAGGCACUCCCUCUUAUU